CUUUAAUAUUCUGUGCUAGAUUCACAGGGCUCUUCUACAGAUGCUAAGCGUUCAAUCCUGAAGGCUCCACUUCAUCAUCAGAACAAGUAUGUAAAGCUCUGAAUUUCAAAGCUGUGCUACCCUCAAACUCCUCUUCCAUGAAUAUUAAGGGACUUCAGAGGGAAAGGAAGAAAUGUUUUACUUAUUUUAGGUGUUUCAUGACAUUUCUAAGGCUUGAAGAAUUCAACACUUUACAGAAAUUCUUCCGGAUCAUCUAUGCCAGAAGUUCAUUCACACCGAGAUUUCAGCCAGGAUUUCAAAUGCAUUUAAAUCAUGGAAUCAUAGAAUCAGAAUAUGCUGAGUUGGAAGGCAUACAUCAGGAUCAUCGAGUCCAACUCCUGCACAUUAACAGCUUUUAGUUGUCCAUGUAACAUUCCUUGAUAUCACCAUUAUCACUGCUUUUGACAAGCAGUAUUUUCUGUCCCUGAACAUUCAUUUUUGUGCUUAAGUUUUGAGAGCCUCCUGUACCUCAGUAUGGGACC
rnacentral:lncRNA from 1 species